AAAAUUUAUUAUUAGAUACUCAAUUCUUCACUCAGAGUCACAUGAAUUUAUUUCUGAAUAAGCCCAUCCUAUAGAAUUAUAAACCCACACUACCUAAAAGCUGGGUUCUACCUUCCCCACAAUUGAACUGAAUUCCUACUCCUGCAAUUGGCUUUUUAAAAUUAUGCAUGGAGCCCGCUAGGGGAGGAAUCUGAGGCCAAUACAUGCUCCAGCGAAGUGACAGCUCCUCAACGGCUCCCUCCAGGAGACAAGCAACCUGCCCUCAGUGCUCAGCCUGCCUGCUGGAACCCGAGACCUCUGCACUGCAGGUGCAGCACGCGUUGCUGAUGCCACGCAAGUGUAGAAGGGGGUCUGUAGGAAGACCACCAGCUCUAGGGACUGCAGGGGUGGGGCCUGAGUGGGUUAGGUCACCUGGGACUGGGAUGCUUGUGAUUGGUCAAGGGAGUGCUGAUCCUUGGAGAACUUACAAAAAAGGGAGGCAAACGAAAUAGGGCAGGGGAUGGGUCACUCCGAGACACUUGCUUCUCACCCCAAUAUCCUUACGUAAACUUUAACUUUGCUUAUACAUUUGCCUGAUUUCCGUUUUUAAGCCACUCAGUGCCUCUUUGGAGCCAACUCACACAGGCUCUAAAGAGAAGAGUAUCAAACACCCAGAAAUUUUGCAAGCCAGUUGUUAAGCUAUUGGCAAUUUGAAAUUGGCCACAGUGGGAGUAUUUUUUACACCACAGAUAUUGGCAAAUGUUACAAAUCAGGGUUGCUGAAGGAUUUUGGUCCAUAGAGCUGACUUUCCACUGCACCAAGUCAUUCUCCAUUGACUUUGCUUUCCUCCAGCAUGGUCUGACACGUUCCUGCCGGGAUUGUGGGCAGCUGCCCCUUGCUGUCUUUCUAACAUUAGCCCAUGCAUCUGUAAUCUUUCUGUGGGAACCACUGUUCUUCUGCCCUGCCCUUUUGUAAACUCUCCCCACUUGGAACGCAAAGUGAAAAUGAAGCCCUCGCUGCCAGAAACAGGGACACAGAGAAACACCUUGGAAAC
rnacentral:lncRNA from 10 species